GCACUUAUAGUUCAACAGGAAGAACGGCUGAUUUGUAAUCAGUUGGUUGGCGGUUCGAUCCCGUCUGGGUGCUCCA
rnacentral:tRNA from 1 species